AACGGACUAAUGCUUUUAGUAUAGUUAGUGGCGAAAGGGUGAGGAAUAGAUAGGUAACGUACCAUUGUGCUUCAGAAUAGCGUCUGGAUGCUUGCAUCCUUCCGAAAGGGGCGGUAAUACUGAAUAAUAUCAUCUCUCGAAUGUGGGAUGAUCAAAGAUUUAUCGGCAUAUGAGCGGCCUAUCUCCUAUCAGCUUGUUGGUGAGGUAAUGGCUUACCAAGGCAUCGACGGGUAGCGGGACUGAGAGGUUGGCCCGCCACAUCGGGACUGAGACACUGCCCGGACCUCCACGGAGGGCUGCAGUAACGAAUAUUGGGCAAUGGGCGAAAGCCUGACCCAGCGACGCCGCGUGUAGGAUGAAGCCUUUCGGGGUGUAAACUACUGUCAGGGAUUAGAAAGUGAGCUUCGGCUCAUUGAUCAGUCCCAAAGGAAGUCACGGCUAACUACGCGCCAGCAGCCGCGGUAAUACGUAGGUGGCGAGCGUUGUUCGGAAUCACUGGGCUUAAAGCGUGUGUAGGCGGAACAGAAAGUGUCCUGUGAAAUCCCUCGGCUUAACCGAGGAAUAGCUCGGCAAACUGCUGUUCUUGAGGCAAGUAAGGGUGCGUAGAACUCUUGGUGGAGCGGUGGAAUGCGUAAAUAUCAAGAGGAAUGCCAGUGGUGAAAACGGCGCACUGGGCUUGUCCUGACGCUGAGACACGAAAGCGUGGGUAGCGAACGGGAUUAGAUACCCCGGUAGUCCACGCCGUAAACGAUGUCUACUAAGUGUUGGGGAUUCUGACAUUC
rnacentral:rRNA from 1 species